rnacentral:rRNA from 1 species
AUUGAACGCUGGCGGCAUGCCUUACACAUGCAAGUCGAACGGCAGCAUGGAGAGCUUGCUCUCUGAUGGCGAGUGGCGAACGGGUGAGUAAUGCAUCGGAACGUACCGUGUAAUGGGGGAUAACGUAGCGAAAGUUACGCUAAUACCGCAUACGACCUGAGGGUGAAAGCAGGGGAUCGCAAGCCCUCGCGUUAUACGAGCGGCCGAUGUCAGAUUAGCUAGUUGGUGAGGUAAAGGCUCACCAAGGCGACGAUCUGUAGCGGGUCUGGGGGGAUGGGCCGCCACACGGGGCCAGAGACACGGCCCAGACUCCUGCGGGAGGCAGCAGUGGGGAAUUUUGGACAAUGGGGGCAACCCUGAGUCAGCCAUGCCGCGUGAGUGAAGAAGGCCGUCGGGUUGUAAAGCUCUUUCGGCCGGGAAGAAAUCGCACAGGCUAAUACUCUGUGUGGAUGACGGUACCGGCAUAAGAAGCACCGGCUAACUACGUGCCAGCCGCCGCCGUAA